rnacentral:rRNA from 1 species
AUUGAACGCUGUCGGCAGGCCUAACACAUGCAAGUCGAACGAGCGGCGGACGGGUGAGUAAUGUCUGGGAAUCUGCCUGAUGGCGGGGGAUAACUACUGGAAACGGUAGCUAAUACCGCAUACCAUCAGAUGAACCCAUAUGGGAUUAGCUAGUAGGUGGGGUAACGGCUCACCUAGGCGACGAUCCCUAGCUGGUCUGAGAGGAUGACCAGCCACACUGGAACUGAGACACGGCCCAGACUCCUACGGGAGGCAGCAGUGGGGAAUAUUGCACAAUGGGCGCAAGCCUGAUGCAGCCAUGCCGCGUGUAUGAAGAAGGCCUUCGGGUUGUAAAGUACUUUCAGUCGGGAGGCGUUACCGGCAGAAGAAGCACCGGCUAACUCCGUGCCAGCAGCCGCGGUAAUUC